UUGGGGAGAAGCCUGAAGAGGAAAAAGGGAGAGGGGCCUUUGGGGAUAUUUACAGCCAACAUUCCAUUUAGCACCAGGCACCCAGUGGAGAAAAGUCAAUUUGUCCUUGUCAUAGAUCUGGCUGCACUACCUCUCCUGCUGCCAGGCAUUUUGUUCCCAGAAGACGGGGCUACCCAGGAAUGUGAGGGGCAGGAUGCGUGAAUAUGGCCCGUUCACUGACGCCUGGAGGAACGAGCCUCCACUGAAAGGACGUCCCAGUGAUGAAGUUUGGAUCCAUGUGAUGGCAUGUGUGCAUCUGCCCAUUGACCUUUGGGAAAAUGCAGGAUCUAAAGCAGAGAUUCCAACAGUUAUUCAAGAGCAAAUCAUCAUCAUCAUCAUCACCAUCAUCAUCAUCAUCUAGCCAUCAACAUUUAGAAAUCAGGAG